rfam:Schistosoma haematobium scaffold2973_5, whole genome shotgun sequence.
AUUCAACCGACGAGUCCCAAAUAGGACGAAACGCGCGUUCUGGAU